rnacentral:lncRNA from 1 species
CAUGACUUGGAAUGUUAUUUUUCUACAUUUAUGUAUCGAUGUCUUGAGACAUCAACAACAUGUCUCGAGACCAUAAGAAUAUUUUUAUGUAUUUCAUACAUUUUGGGGCACAUUUAUCGAGACAUGAUUGGAUUGUCUUAAAAUGUAAGGGGGUAAGUCUCGAGACAUGAUGAUCUUGUCUCAAGACAUAAAGCAUCAAAGCUAAAUUAAGAAAAAUUCUAUCUAGUGUCUCGAGAGAGUCAUGGCUCAUUGUCUCGAGACAUAGGAAUUAAUGUCUCAAAACAUGGUUUCAUUGUCU